CAGCCGUGCGAGCGCUCGGCGCCGCUACCGCGCCCAGAACGGGCGGAGCAGGUUCGGCCGGGGUUGGCGGCCCUGUUCGGCGCAGGCGCUGGUGA
rnacentral:tRNA from 1 species